UCUAAAAAUGGCUGGGUUAUUUUUUAACCCAAAAUGCUGGGUUGAGUCUGUUGGGUUGUUUUGCUGGGUUAUUUUUUUACAUUUUAAACACUUUUUGGGUAGUUUCAGUUUUCUAGGUGUUGGGUUAAAACUGCUGGGUUAUUAUGUUGGGUUGUUUGAAGAGGCUCACGUGCUUCGCGCCCUUGAUGUUUGAAUGUGCUCAGCAAUGGUCGUCGUGAAAGGACAGAGUCACUGAAGCAGUUGUUUCAAGAGUGUGCAGAGUUUUAACGUCCAUCCAUUGAUGAGGCUAGCAAGACCUUCAAACAACUUCAGCCAAUUGCAACAAAUGUGGUGGAAUUUCUUCUCUGGACAGAAUCCUCGAAACCCUUUCCUUUCGUCCUGGCCAUGGGAAACAUGCAGCAGACCUCUCAAUCUUUUUUCUCAAUCAGUCUCUCUGAAUACGGAAGUGACUUAAACUGCAAUUCGGCCAAGAUGGCGACGGCACGCACCGCCUACUUUAAGCUUCAAAAAUGCUCUUCACAAACCAAUGGGUGACGUCACAGACACUACUUGCAUAUUUUUUACAGUCUCUGGUUUAAAGGCAUGAUUUUACUUUUAAUUUAACAAUUACAUUGUUUCUUUUUUACACUGCUGUAGUUUUGUUUAUGUACAUUUCAGUAUUUCAUAUAUAUACUGUAAAAUUACAAAUUCUGUCUUAAAUUCAAACGAAUUGAUUCAACCUGUUACAUUGUUACUUCAAUGUGCAUAAUUUAUGAUAUUUUAUAAAUAUAUUUAUACUUGGGUCAGUAAGCAUUCCUUUAAAUGAUUUUGCAACUUACAACUGUAAAAAUGUAAGAGUUUGUAGUUAUUUUGCAAUCAAAUAAACAUUUAUUUGCUGUUA